UAGAAAUAAAAUAAAAAGUAAAAGUAAUUGCACUCACCACAGAUACUUUAUAUAAACACUUAUUUUUUGGGCCAAACUUACUCUACUGAAAGCUUUUAAUCCCUUAUAUAAAGAGUUGCCAUAGAGGAAAGUACUGUAUAUAUGUUUUUUUUUUAAUAAGUAACGUUCGUCUCUCUAAUCUUUUAUUGUGUUUUUUUUUUGUUAGUUUAAGUACGAAAAGGAAAGCAAAUGAGCAACUGAAAACUUGUAAAAAAAAAAAAAAAAAAAAAGUCAAGUUGAUUUUAAUGCUUUCUGAUCUCAUGUUAAAAGGAUGUGAACCGACUUAAAGAGAAUCAAAUACUCUAUACUUUUUUUUUUUAUUCUUAAGACUAUUAUUUUGAUCAUUAUUUCUGUCUUUAUUAUUACUGAUGCUUUAUUAUUUUUUCAAUCAUUAUUAUUUUCAUUAUUAUUAUUCCUACUACCAAUACUACUACUACUACUACUACUACCACUACGACUUCUUUUAUUCUCUCGUUCUUCUUAUUCUUCUAGUUCUUAUUCUUCUACUUUUUUCUUAUUUUCCUCCUCAUCUCUAUUUUCUUUAUAUUUUCUUCUUCCUUUUAUUCUUAUUCUACUUUCACUACUAAUGCAAAUACUACAAACACGACUAUUCUGCUACCACUACUACUACUACUACUACUACUACUACUACAAGGGGGGUAGGCUGGAUGAGUGCAGGUGGCCGAGGAUUCGAACCCCUUAAAAAAACACAUUAGGGAUCCAAUCAGCCUCAUAAAUUACCACUAACAGCUGUCUAUCUUAUACUGCGUCUGAUAAACCAAUAAUUCUUCGGUUUAAUUUUCAUCUGUGGUCGAUUAAUUAAUAUCAAUGAUCGUAAAGUAAUUGAAAUAUACGUCCUUGCAGUAACAGUUUCGGUAAUCUAAUUCAAUUCAUCGUUAAUCUCAAACUUAUGCUUCCAAUCCAUCACACAAUUAGGUGUCAAAGAAUGCUUCCGCCCAAACAGUUUCACACCUACGCCCUUAUUUCGAUUUCUCCUUUCCCCAGCCAUCAAUUUUAAGAUCAGUUUCAGUAAUAUCAAUGUGCCAGAUGCCGGUCCCUACGAGCUAUGUAUCAGACACUUUACAAGCUCUCCUUUCCUAAGUCGUCCAUUUGAUAUCAGUUCCAAUUACAACAGAUAGCUGGACACUGAUUCACACGACCUUUCCAUCAUUUAGUUUAUAAGCUCUCAUUUCCUAGGCCAUUCCCUUGAGGUCAGUUCCAACACUAACAGUCACCCAGGUUCUGUUCUUUAGGUUAGGUUAGGUUAGGUUAGGUUAGGCUAGGUUAGGUUAGGUUAGGUUAGGUUAGGUUAGGUUAGGUUAGGUUAGGUUAGGUUAGGUUAGGUUAGGUUAGGUUAGGUUAGGUUAGGUUAGGUUAGGUUAGGUUAGGCUAGGUUAGGUUAGGUUAGGUUAGGUUCUGCUCUUUAAAAUCUUUCUAUUACCCGUUUUACAAGCUCUUCCUUCUUUGACCAUUCCUUUUACAUCAGCCGCCGAGCUAUCAAUCAUAUAUUUUAUACAAGCUCUCACCACCUAGGCCAUUCCCUUGAGGUCAGUUCCAACACUGACAGUCACCCAGGUUCUGCUCUUUAGGUUAGUUUAGGUUAGGUUAGGUUAGGUUAGGUUAGGUUAGGUUCUGCUCUUUAAAAUCUUUCUAUCACCCACGUUACAAGCUUUUACUUCUUAGGCCAUUCCUUUCACAUCAGUUCCAGUAAUAAUAGUGUGCCAGUCGAACAGCUCUGAAUCAUAUAUUUUACAAGCUCUCACUUCCUAGGCCAUUCCCUUGAGGUCAGUUCCAACACUAACAAUCACCCAGAUUCUGCUCUUUAAAAGCCUUCUAUCACCCAUUUUACAAGCUUUCCUUCUUAGGCCAUUCAUUUCACAACAAUUCCAGUAAUAGCCGUGCGCUCUGAAUCAUAUAUUUUACAAGCUCUCUCUUCCUAACCCAUUCUCUUAACAUGCAUUCCAACACUAUUAGUAAGUCAGAUUCCCUUCCCUACGAGUUUUCUGUCAUCCAUAUCACCUUUUAUUCCUUCCUGAGUCAUUCCCUUGAGGUCAGUUCCAUCAGUAUCAGUUAGCCAGACGCCGUUUUCUAAGAGCUUGCUAUGGUCCACUUUCACGGAUUAAUGGCCAUAUCCCGCGCACUAAUUUUCUCUGUUAGCAAGUCAUUCAUUUGAUACGAGUUCCAGUAAUGUAAGUUAGCCGGAUUCUGUUCGCUCUGAGCUGUCUAUCAUAUAUUUUACAAGCUCUCACCUCCUCGGCCAUUCUCUUGAUAUGCUUCCCACCACUAUAAGUCAGCCAGUCAGGGCAAUAUAAGUCGAAUGCAGGGUAUCAAGACGCCUCUAAAACCGUUUCUGAAUUAUCGUUUGAAAUUCCCUAUCCCUUUUUUCUUUUGGGAGCAGUAGUUAUGCGGGGUCUUUAUAACGUUUUUUGUCUUCACUGCUUUCUCAGAGGCAAAAAAUAGAGAAGAUUCCGUUUCCUAAGAUCAUUCUAUCAUCCAUUUUACAAGGUUUAACUUCCUAACUCAUUCUUAACCCAGUCCCUUGAGGUCCGUUCCAGUAAUAUCAGUCAGUCAGAUUUCGUUCCCUACAUAAGUUAUAUCGCCCAUUUUACAAGCUCUCACCUCAUAAACCAUUUACUUGACAUGAUACCCAACAUUAAUAGCAAGUCCGAUCCCAUUCUCACCUGCUUUCUGUCACUUAUUUCACAAGCUCUCCCUUCCUAAGCCAUUCCCUUCACAUCAGUUCCAUCAAUAUCAGUUAGCCAGACGCCGUUCCCUACCAGCUUUUUAUGAACCAGUUUCACGGGUUAAUGGCUACAAUCAAUAUACUAAUUUUCUAUGAUAGUAAACUCAUUAGCAGCCUUUCUGUAUCUCUGUUUCCUCCUCCUUACGUCUUAACCCCUUGACUGCGGAUUUCCUACAGUCAGACCUCACCAAGCUUCAGGAAUGGAACAAAAAGUGGCUGCUACAAUUCAAUGGAGAAAAAUGUAAAGUCCUGCACCUUGGGAGAGGAUAUCCAGCACACCAAUACCACAUGGGAAACACUCCACUAUCCACCACAGACAGAGAAAGACCUGGGAGUAUUAUAUUACCGGACUACCACUGAAAGCCAAAUCCGUGCCAAUCGCAGCGGUGGGGUAAAGAAUUACCCAGUUUCAGGAGGGGAGUAUCAAGACGCCUCUCCAAAUGACUCUAGCCUCUGUUGCGAACACUCAAACUGAAUACCAUUUGCAGAAGCAGCGUCAUUGAGGGCCUGUCUAUUACCUCCUCUUUUUGCGUCCUUAAUCAGCCUCCUUUACUGUAAAAAAAAAAAAAUUCACAACUUUGCCAAAAACGAAGUAAGCAGAAGUGAAAGUUGUGGAAUUUUUAACGAAGGCGAAAAAUAGUUAAGAUACAUCCGUUGUUUUUUCGAGUUGGUAAUAAUAGAGGAUUUUAAAUAAGGGAGAGUUUGGAUUACUGAAGUUAGUCUAGUCUUAUAUAUGAAGUUCUGGAUAUGGGUCCCCUCCAUCACCCCUUCACCCCCUUCACUCCCCCUCCCCCCCUUGCCCUGACCAUCCAAAUCCAUGACUACUACUACUACUACUACUACUACUACUACUACUACCUAAUCUUAUCUAAUGUUUUUUAUUCGUUCUUUUCUAUUAUUUGCAGUUUUUUGUUUCCUUUUCGUGUUUUUUUUUGUAUAGUUUUGUCACGUUCCUAAUACAUGUUUGUUCGUGUGUGUGUGUUUUACUGUUUAAUUGUUUAGUGUUUUUUUUUCUUUAGCAAGCCUCGCGACACUGUUUAGGCGUGUGAAGUGAACGAUGUGUCUCUCUCUAACGUACACGCACACGCGCACACACACACACACACACACACACACACACACACACACACACACUUUAUUUGGUUUCUAUGUAUAUAAUUUCGGUGAUAUAUUUGUACAUAACAACCUAAUGUACUCUCUCUCUCUCUCUCUCUCUCUCUCUCUCUCUCUCUCUCUCUCUCUCUCUCUCUCUCUCUCUCUCUCUCUUGUCUAAACAAUGGUGCCAUAACUCUGAAUAUAUUACGUUGCUCUCUCUCUCUCUCUCUCUCUCUCUCUCUCUCUCUCUCUCUCUCUCUCACAUGAUGGCAAAGAAUUCCCAUCUGUCUGUCUGUCUCGCUGUCUGUCACUCUGUCUGUCUACUUUAAGUCAAUUCGUCAAUCACACACACACACACACACACACACACACACACACACACACACACACACACACACACACACACGUUGCCUGUAUAUUAUUAUCUUUAGUCAAGAGUAACAUAAAACAAUAAUAUCAUUUCACAAACUGCUGUAGAUACCAAUGAAAUAAAAGCUCUUUAUAAUGAUUUCCAUAACCUGAGUAAACAAACUUAUAAUAUACUUCUUAGCCAAAAACAACAAUAGCAACAACAAUAUCAACAACAACCGACAGAAGAUAAAGGAGUGAAGUAAACUGUCUAUAUGAACCACUAAGUAAGCAAAGGGGUGUAUCAUGACAAGUAUAAUGUGAGAUAAAAUAAAGGAGUCUUGUAAAUUUUAA